rnacentral:misc_RNA from 1 species
GAAAUGCGAUAAUUAAUGUGAAUUGCAGAACUCAGUGAAUCAUCGAGUCUUUGAACGCACAUUGCGCCCCCUGGUAUUCCGGGGGGCAUGCCUGUCCGAGCGUCAUUGCUGCCCUCAAGCACGGCUUGUGUGUUGGGCUUCCGUCCCUGGCAACGGGGACGGGCCCAAAAGGCAGUGGCGGCACCAUGUCUGGUCCUCGAGCGUAUGGGGCUUUGUCACCCGCUCCCGUAGGUCCAGCUGGCAGCUAGCCUCGCAACCAAUCUUUUUAACCAGGUUGACCUCGGAUCAGGUAGGGAUACCCGCUGAACUUAAGC